AUAAGCUCUGAAAACCAACUACAUUUUUUUUCAGAGAAAGCUGACAUGAUUUGGAGUGGAGCAUGGAAAAAAUCCCGUGCCUUCAGACAUCAUGAUUAAUAGUACUGAUUGUAUUAGCAAACAAAUGGGAAAGGUUAAUGUGACAGCUAGUCUUUAAGCUGUGAUAUUGUUUGGGACAUUGGUAGAAGAAGACUUAGAAACAUAGCCAGAAAUUUGACAAUGAUAUUAAAGGAACUGGAUAGGCAUAGUUGGCCUCAAUAAGCUUCAGCCUAUCCCCAGAGAUCUCAAAAGCUGUAACCAUGCUCCAGGCUAAGUGCAUAUCCAAGAGAGGCUGGAGAAGAUUUUAGCUAUGUACAUAUGCCUGAAU
rnacentral:lncRNA from 1 species